GCUGGGCGCGGUGGCACACGCCUAUAAUCCCAGCAGCUCGGGAGGCUGAGACAGAAGGAUCGUGAGUUCAAGCCAGCCUCAGCAAAAGUGAGGCGCCAAGCAACUCAGUGAGACCCUGUCUCUA
rnacentral:sRNA from 1 species